AAUACAGUACGGAACGUCGACCCAAGUCGGGUAGGGGGAAUAACGUAGACGAAAGUUACGCUAAUACCGCAUACGAUCUACGGAUGAAAGCGGGGGAUCGCAAGACCUCGCGCGAGUGGAGCGGCCGAUGUCAGAUUAGGUAGUUGGUGGGGUAAAGGCUCACCAAGCCAACGAUCUGUAGCUGGUCUGGAGAGGACGACCAGCCACACUGGAACUGAGACACGGUCCAGACUCCUACGGGAGGCAGCAGUGGGGAAUUUUGGACAAUGGGCGCAAGCCUGAUCCAGCCAUUCCGCGUGCAGGAUGAAGGCCUUCGGGUUGUAAACUGCUUUUGUACGGAACGAAACGGCGAGCUCUAAUACAGUUUGCUAAUGACGGUACCGUAAGAAUAAGCACCGGCUAACUACGUG
rnacentral:rRNA from 1 species